rnacentral:rRNA from 1 species
UUGAAAUUGAAAUUGGACUUUAGUCGCGCAGCAUAGGUGGGAAGCGUUGAGCAUAUUCUUGCGGGAAUAUAGGAGCUAUCAGUGAGAUACCACUCUUCUAAUGUUAGAUUUCUAACCUUGAACCAUUAUCUGGUCAAGGAACAGUUUCAGGCGGGCAGUUUGACUGGGGCGGUCGCCUCCUAAAUGGUAACGGAGGCGCACAAAGGUUUCCUCAGAUCGGUCAGAAAUCGAUCGUAGAGCGUAAAGGCAUAAGGAAGCUUGACUGCGAGACUUACAAGUCGAGCAGAGACGAAAGUCGGUCUUAGUGAUCUGACGGUUCCGAGUGGAAGGGCCGUCACUCAACGGAUAAAAGUUACUCUAGGGAUAACAGGCUGAUCUCCCCCAAGAGUUCACAUCGACGGGGAGGUUUGGCACCUCGAUGUCGGCUCAUCGCAUCCUGGGGCGGUAGUACGUCCCAAGGGUUGGGCUGUUCGCCCAUUAAAGUGGCACGCGAGCUGGGUUCAGAACGUC